ACCGCGGAGCGCGCUGUGAAGCCGGCCCACGCUACAAGACAGGUAAGUAAUUAUGUGACAAGGGGAGGGGGACACUAUGGGACAAGGGGAGGGUGGGACACUGUGGGACAAGGGGAGGGGACACUAUGGGACAAGGAGAGGGUGGGACACUGGACAAGGAGAGGGUGGGACACUAUGGGACAAGGGGAGGGGUGGACACUAUGGGAGGGAAAGUGCACUAUGGGACAAGGGGGGGACACUAUGGGACAAGGGGAGGAGGGGUUAACAAUCACUAUGGAACAGAGGAAAGGGGGGUUAAAAUAACUAUGGGACAGGGGAGGGGGGUUAAAGAUCAUUAUGGGACAGGAGAGUGGGUGGUAAGGAACAAAAAAUUCCUUAAAAAAAAAAAAAUAUUCUGAACAAACUGUCCCAUAGUAAGAAACACUAUGGAACAGUUCAGAAUAUUUUUUUUUUCUGGGUCUCCUCCUCUAAAAACUAGGUGCGUCUUAUGGUGAGGUGCGUCUUAUGGAGCGAAAAAUACGGUACAUCCAGGCUAUCUUUCAAUUUACAGGCCAGGUACUGCUCAAAUAAAUCAUAUAACUUGUUUUGUUAGGGUCCACACGCUUCUAAAGAUAAUGCAUAACAUACAGCUGAGCAGUGUUCUUAGUCACUCAAAUUUUUUAUGCAUUUCUGCAUAUUCAUUAUUAUUGCAAUUUUUAUUGAUUAUUAUGACUGUAAGGAAUUUGGACUCUGUAUAUAGUAACUAGAACUCAAUGAAAAACCUGCUGAAAUGUAAGCAUAUAUCCUUGCUCUUUAUAAGGUUUUAAGGACAUACAGAAUACACAAUAUAUUUAAUUAUUAGCCUCUAAAGAUGUUAAUAAUAAAUCCUUUACAUAACUUGCUUUGUACUAACACCAUAUGAGAGGUGCUGACAACAUGGAAUAUACUCUCUAGUUUUUGUCACUAAUUCAUAUUAUUACCUAACAUAUAAUUUCUGCAUGUGUUUGUUUUGAAACAAGCAGUUUUUAAGUAUGUCAGUUAUUUCAUUUGUAGCAUUUUUUUUUUUUUUAAACCAUAAAACACAGGAAAUGUUAUAAAACAUAUUUAUAGUUAUACAAAUCAGUGAAGCUGAAACCAGAAGGGAGGUAGUUGAAAACUGACCUGAAAACACCCUCAGGAAAUGCCCUAACCUUGCAGGAGAGUGGAGAUAAUACUUAAGUCGUUAGUCUCUCACUCACACAAUUUUCCUCUUGGCUAUAUAUUUUAACACUAAGUGUAGCAUAGUAACACAUUGAAGAGACGCUCAAAGCUGCAUAACAACAUCAGGUGUUCAGUUCCUUUAAGGAAACUGACAUUCAUUUAAUGCACAACUGAAAUGUGACUAUUUGUGGGCUUUACACUCUGUGAGAUUUUUAGAUAUAGUUGUGAUAUUAGUAAUGGCAAAAUUAAAAACAAAAAACAAGUUCUUAGAAUAAGCAUACACACUGAAAUUCCACUUAUCUUUGUGUGCGGAUGAGGCUUUUUUGGUCAAUUUAUAGUAGAUCUUUACUAAUGAAUCCUGCAACAAAAUGGGCAGAUAAUAUAACAAGUGAUGAAGCAAAAUGUGAUUAUUUGCUAUUAAGCACAAUAUUCUAGAGUGUCUUGAAAACACAAUAUGACAGAGCUGCUGUGAAUGGAAAAUUUGUGUGUUCUUUAUUGUAGUAAAGUAUAUGUGAAAAUGUACUUAAAUCAGUGUGGUAUGGUUAUUAUAUUAUCUAGCCACAACAUCAAUAAGGCUUAGCUUGGAAAUUAAAUGUUUUGUGGUAUAAUCCACUUUUAAUACGGAUAAAACAUAUUUAAUAUUACAACCCUAUUAUUCAGUUUGUUGGAGGAGAUUCCGUGUGAUAUUGGACAUUUUAUUUAACACCAGGUUUAUCACAACUUUAGCAGACAUGUUCAUAAGGGACAUGCAAAUCUUAAGUGUAUGACUGUAAAAUAGUUCAUAUAAAUUUAUGGUAAGGGUGAUACCUGAGGGUGCAAUUGCAGGCUACAUAUAAACGUAAAGGCAGAGUCACUGUUAGGAUUGAUUUCACUCAGUUUUGACACAGGAUACAGUUAUGUGGAACAUAGCAGCAGGAAUAGCAGCAUUGGUUAUAUUCAAACAUUUUGGGGGUUUUGGUGACUUUUAUAUUUAUACAAAAGGAAGGCCCUUAGAUAUUUGUAGGAUCUCUUGGCUCCUAAUCGUCUUAAUUACUCCCUUUGAUCAGCAAUUUUAUUACAGCUUUGGGUACCAAGAGUCAAUUUAACAAUACGUCAUACUAUAUAUUUUUGCAUACUGCUUUGUCUUGAUGAGACACAUUUUCACAAAGUAGAAAUAUAUAUAUAAAAAAAAUGAAUAGCCAUCUCCUUAUUCAGGCUUUUGAACCAACAACCACUAUUGAAAUUCUAUCAUUAAUGUAAACUUCUACUCCUGCUAAUUACUGUGAAAAAAGAAUGAAUAAGGUAAUUUUUUUUCUAAACUGUCAUUGAUUCAAUAUAUUUCUGUCUUGUAGUUAGAGAAAAGCUCACAAAUGUUUACAAUCAGACAUUGUAAGCAGGAGGCUAAUCCAUGUCAGCAUCACCUAUGGGUUAAGCUCCUUCCUCUCAGCUGAUAGGACAGGAAUCUUAAAAUAAUGUUAUAUAAGAGAGUCACCUCCCCAUAACCAGCAGUCUUUUUUCCUGUCCUCCAGCUGUUAGAAAUUAGUUUUUCAUUAUGGCACAUAUGGGGAGUUCAGCCUCUCUCCCCAGGGAAGAACCCAGAUACAGCCCAAGCACUGUGGGACUCCUUGGGUUCAAAUUGCUAUGUUAGUGCAUAGUAAUUGAAGAUAUUGGACCUCUCUGGACAUCCAAAGUGUACUAUAGGAUGGGUAAAGAUUCAGUUUCAAUAAACCUUUCUAACUUGUUAGAAGUUUUACAAAAGGGAAUAGAAAAAUGAUUGAGUCUCAGCUCCCUGAAGGUUCAAUUAUCUGCCUUCUCGGUCAUAUCUAAUGUCCAAUGGGCUCUAGAUCCUACAGUCAAGCAAUUUCUAAAGGGGACCAUGAAAAUCAGACCACCAAUUAAAAAUUUCAAUCCAGCAUGGGAUCUACCAACAGUGCUACACAGUUUAACUAGUGCACCAUUUGAAUCCCUAUGGGAUUUGACUUUGAAAAAAUUAUUUCUAAUUGCUAUCACGCCUGCUUGAAGGGCUUCUGAACUCCAACCCCUUUUGUCUGAACAUCCAUUCACUCAAAUCUUGGAAGAUAAGGCAGUUCUAAGAUUGGUUCUGGAAUUUACUCCUAAAGUCCUCUCAAAAUUCCAUCUGAAUCAAGAAAUUAUUUUGCCUUUCUUCUAUAAGAAUCCUUCAUCUGAAGAAGAAUCCAUUUGGCACACCUUGGAUGUGAUCAGAUCGCUACAUGUAUAUCUGCUGCCUGGUCUUCCUCCAACACAUUUGUGAGGCAUUACCGUUUAGACGUUACAGGCUCCUCUGUCUCCUCUUUUGGGAGGAAAGUCCUUGAUGCUGCCAUUACUGUUUACAUUAAAAUUAGAUUUUCAUUGAAUUCGUGCAUUUUUUUAUUUAUUACCCUCCCUCCCGUUUGUACAUUCUGGAAAUCCCAUAGGUGAUUCUGACAUGGAUUAGCCAGGAUAAUAGAAAAGUGUAUCCAUACUUACCGUAAUUUUCUUUUCCUGGUUAUUAUCCAUGCCAGCAUAAACGAUCCCUUCCACUGUCUGGACUGACUUAAUUAUGAGGCUGCUGGAUAUGUGGAGGUCAGCUGAGAGGGAGGAGCUUAACCCAUAGGUGAUGCUGACAUGCAGGGACGUUUUAGCCGUGAGGCAAACAAGGCAUUUGCCUUGGGCGGCAUUUUCCAGGGGGCUGCAAAAAAAGCUGCCCCCAAAUGCCCAGGGCAAAUGCUUUGUUAGCCUUGUGGCUAACAGUCCAGGCGGGCGGGCGGCGCUGGCGAGGGUGCACUUUUUAUUUGACGUCAUAUUCCGGCUCCCGGCAUCACUCUGCGGGCGGCGCGCGAGGGAGCUGAGCAGACAGCUCAGGGGAAAGUGCACCCUCGCCAGCACCGCCCGCACGGCAGCCCCAGGGAAAGGGAGAAACCCCCCCAGGAUUCCCAAAUGUAAGGAGGCUGGUGGGGUUAAAUAAUUAAAAAAAAGUGAGUGUGUUAAUGUGAGUGAGUGUCUGUUAGUGUGUGUGUCUGUAUGUGUGAGUGAGUGUGUGUGUCUGUUAGUGUGUGUGUGUCAGUUAGUGUGUGUGUCUGUUACUGAGUGAAUGUGUGUCUGUGUUUGUCUGUUAGUGAAUGUGUGUUUGUCUGUUAGCUAGUGUAUGCGUAUCUGUCAGUGAAUGUGUGUGUGUGUGUGUGUGUGUGUGUGUAUUUAGAAGGCAGGGCAGGCGGGGAAGGGUUGGGUGGGGGGAAGGGGGACCCCUGAGUUUUGUCCUGCCUAGGGCAGCUCAAACCCAGGAUACACCACUGCUGACAUGGAUAAUAGCCAGGAAAAGAAACUUACGGUAAGUAUGGCAACAAUUUUCUGUUUUACCAUAAGUCCUCAUUACAAUCAGUUGAAAGCAUCUGUAAGGAAAUGACUGAUAUAUACAGUCAACAUGGUUUUACUAUAUGUGUGUAUGGCUUGCAUUUCACCUUCAUCUAGCAAUAACACAGCUUUAAAGGAACACUCCCAGGUCACAACAAAUUAAGCUUAUUUAAGUUUUUAUGGGACAGGAAUACUUCUCUCCGCUGGUCUAUGUGAGGAAGGGGUAGCUGGGCAGCUGCUGAUAGGCUAAGCAAAUCAGCUGAAACUCUCAACCUAUCAACUGGCACCAAAUGAAAUUUGUACAUGCUAUUUUUCUCAAUGGGCACCCAUUGAUAUGCUGAGAACAUCAACUGACACUCUGCCUAUCAGCAGCCAACUGGCUAUCCCUUCCCUGUACUAGCCAGAAGAGUGGAACAGAAGCCAGGAGACAGAAGUUUGCCACAGAACAACUUAAAUAAAUGUAAGAUGUUAUGGUGGUGGAAGUACUCAUUUUUUCAUAUUUGCAUAAUUGAUUGCUUUCUUCAAAUGACGGGAAUAAUAUUGUUCUAAAUCCCAUCUUUCGCAGAUUUGGAUUGGUAGACUCAUUAAUGUCACUGAUGCUGCAGUGCCAUCAUGCUCAGCAGCAAAUAUUAAAUUAAUUCCAGAGGGCAUAUAUUGCCCAUUCCAGCCUGCCUUGUAGUUUUGUCCAAAGCUUCACAUUCCUAUCCAAUGUUGAGUGGGUGUGGACCCUUUUGAACGUUCUCUUUGGCACUGGGAUCCAGACAAGCACACUCCCCUUGCAGUUCACAGUUUGCUGGGAAAGGUGUCAC